rnacentral:rRNA from 1 species
AUUGAACGCUGGCGGCGUGCCUAACACAUGCAAGUCGAGCGGUAACAGGUGUAGCAAUACAUGCUGACGAGCGGCGGACGGGUGAGUAACGCUUGGGAAUCUGCCUAUUAGUGGGGGACAACCCGGGGAAACGUACGGGCUAAUACCGCAUACGCUCUACGGAGGAAAGACCGGGGACCGGCAAGGCCUGGCGCUAAUAGAUGAGCCCAAGUCGGAUUAGCUAGUUGGUAGGGUAAUGGCCUACCAAGGCGACGAUCCGUAACUAGGUCUGAGAGGACGACCAGUCACACCGGAACUG